UUUAUUACUCUUUUUUUUUUUUUUUUUUCCUUUUUCAAAGCACGAUAUUAUUGUUCAGAAGAAAUAGAAAUGGCCCUGAGUCUAAACAAAUGCUUUGCUCUGGUUCUUUUUAUGCUUUGCUUCAUGGCAAUGAUCAAUAUCGAGGCUCGGAAGGUUUGGCCAAGUAAAGGAGCAGAAAUUCGUCAUAACAAAGUCGAAAUCAGUAGUGAGAAUUCACCGAAAACUAAAGAAGCUAAUGCAAGUGACGAAGACUAUUACCAAAAGAAUGCAAGUGAAGAAGACAUGCUGGUCUUGGAUUAUACUCCUGCGAAAAAGAAGACCCCUAUUCAUAACUAAUUUUGGGUUCUCUCCGGUCUUGAUCAAUAUAUAUAUAUAUAGAUAUUAUUCUCUAGAUUAGUUAGUUAAUAUAUCUUGUUUAUCAGAGCAAUAGUUCAACAAGUAGAAGAUUUGUUUAAGUAAUUUGGUUCCUGAAACCGUAAUGUAUAUGUAUAAUUAUGCUUUUUUGCAUGCAAUCUUUGAAAAGGGAAAAUAAACUAUGCAUAAGGAUGUUGUGUUCA